rnacentral:ncRNA from 2 species
CUCUUAUCCUGAGUAGGUGGAGGGACAGGCCCGAUGAAACCCGGCAACCGUCAUCAUCCCUGGUGAAAUGGUGCUAACCUGGGCUCCGGAAGGAGCUGGAGAUAAGAG